GUGCUGGAAGGUUAAAAGGAGGACUUAGCUUCGGCGAAGGUCUUAAUUGAAGCCCCAGUGAACGGCGGCCGUAACUAUAACGGUCCUAAGGUAGCGAAAUUCCUUGUCGGGUAAGUUCCGACCCGCAUGAAAGGCGUAAUGAUUUGGGCGCUGUCUCAACAAUAGACUCGGUGAAAUUUAAAUUCCAGUGAAGAUGCUGGGUACCCGCGACAGGACGGAAAGACCCCGUGGAGCUUUACUGUAGCUUGAUAUUGAAUGUUUGUGCUGCAUGUGCAGGAUAGGUAGGAGACUUUGAAGUCGGAACGCUAGUUUCGAUUGAGUCACCCUUGAGAUACUACCUCUGUUGUAUGAACGUUCUAACUCUGAUCAGUUAUCCUGAUCGAAGACAGUGUCUGGCAGGCAGUUUGACUGGGGCGGUCGCCUCCUAAAAGAUAACGGAGGCGCUCAAAGGUUUGCUCAGAAUGGUUGGAAAUCAUUCGUAGCGUGUAAAGGCAUAAGCAAGCUUGACUGUGAGACUGACAAGUCGAGCAGGUACGAAAGUAGGACUUAGUGAUCCGGUGGUUCCGUAUGGAAGGGCCAUCGCUCAACGGACAAA
rnacentral:rRNA from 1 species